rnacentral:lncRNA from 1 species
UUGGAUUAUCCCAAAUCCUAAUUAUCUUCUAAAAUAUCAAACGGGUCCACACCACAAUAGCAACUUGGUCCUCCUCAAUCACCCAUACCCAUGAUCCUUCCUUAAAUUGAUGAGUGCAGCAGAACCUUUCGAAAGAGCAAAAAAGAAAAGCAACUGGCACAGUACAAAUGGGUCACUGUUCAUCAGCAGCUCUGUUAGCGAUGGUGGCGUUGACCCUGUUGACCACAACUCACGGCAUCAACAACAACAGCAGCGGCGGCGGCAGGGACACGUGGUGCGACGGCCUCAGCGACCCAUCAUGCCUCAUUGCAAACAGCGACUUGGACGGCAUGGAGUUCCUGAUGGACUCGGAAAUCAACAGAAGGAUCUUGGCCGGAUAUCGAGGUGUAACCGGACCGGCACUAGAUCCCAGCAAAGCGGCGUCGUGUGAUCGGAGGGGUUUCCCUCCUUGCCAUCCCGGCUCCAACAGAAAUCCCCCGGCGCCCAAUUGCGAUCAGACAAGGUACAAUCGCGAGUGCUACCGCAAUUGACGACCCAAACGACGUAAUUUCAUCUUGUGCCAAAUUUGGGUGCAACUAGGUUUGGUGGUUGCAAGUAGUAAGUACAGAAUAAAGGUUCAAUUGAUAUGGUGUGUUAACUGUAUCAAUGAAAUUGUUGUAAGUGUGUAUUGAUUCUCUUGUCUUGUGUUCAUGUUUAUGAUUUGGAGAUUCAAUUGUUUUUACUUUUCUGUGUAACAAAGGAUUUGUGAAGAAGAACAAAUAAUUUCUCAAUGAUUUAAGGUUGAGAUUCCUUUUAGUGUUUCCUGUUCCAUCUGCCAAGAAAAAGAUUAAAAAAAUGGCCAGUGGUGGUGUGUGUCUGUGUUUAGUGGGUAUGCAUUGCAAUUUGCAAGGAUAGUGAAAUCCUAACCAGACUUUAUUAAAUACCAAAUUAUGUCCAUUCCAUC